CCUGAAAUUGUUGCAUAUAAGUGUGUGUGUGUGUGUGUGUGUGUGUGUGUGUAAACCUGUUUAAGAGUUACCAAUUUAUAUAUUGUUAAAAUCUUGUGUUGCAUGAAAUAAUGGUUUGUAAGUUCAAUUCCAGUCCAUGCACCUUUACAUAAUGAAUAUGUAGCUGAUGGUGAACAGAGAUUAAAUCCUUUUAAUUGUCUUAUUUUAGAGGCUAAUGAAUAGCAGAAAUAGCAUAGGACUGAAUUAAAUACAAAGCAGUAUACAGUUACAAAUUUUUAUGUUCUGAGUUCAAAUAACAUUGGAGCUGACUCUACCAGUAAAACCAAGAACUGUUCUUGGAUGAAUAAAAUUAACUAUAAAUGGUGGGAUGAUAGAAUCUUUAGAACAUCAGACAAAAUGCUUGUGGUAUUUAGCUAUGGCUAUAUCAUGAGAUCAUAUCCCACCAAUCUCAACUUUGUUGUACAUCCUUCAGAGGCU